rnacentral:lncRNA from 1 species
UGGAUAAGUAUGGGGUGUUUGGUUUGAGGAACUGGUCAGUGAAAGGAUCGACCAUCCGGUUCCAGCUCUCGACUAAACUCGCUCACUCUGAGGAAUGGAAUGGGUUGCUCAACAUCACCAUUUUCUCAUCCUUUGUAAAAUCAUAAGCCUACUACUAAAUCAGGGGUUGGGUCAUCCAAUGAUGGAUUAGCCCAUCCUGUGGUGAGCUAAUUCCUCAAACAAUCACACGAUCAAUACCCUCUGGCUCUGUGGCCUGAUGAUAUUAUAAGAUCCUCACUUAUCACGCUAGUGCAUUCUGUUUCAUCUUCUAAUAAAACACAGUGGUAUUUGAGUGACUGAAAGAGCCACUUCUUAUAAGCUAGAGUAAGAUAAAACCAGACUUCUGGAUGGCCCCUACGGUGUCAUUGAUUCAGAGCUGAACAUCAGAAGGUCAUGUUAACCUGCUUGACACACUCUUCCUUCACCUGCGCAAAGAGCUCCGAGUUCAGAUAGGCAUUGUCACAAUCACCUCGUCGUUAACGCACUCGUUCAUGCAACACUGGAAAACAUUGUCACGAUCAUCUUUCCCAUGUUCUCCUCUCUUGAUGCAACCUAUCAGGAAGGGAGUACAUGAAUCAGAUGACUGGAUAAAUAAGCGGAUUUAUGAACUUUGGAAAAAAAGACAGCUUCCCUUUAAGCAGGCAGCUGCAUUUGCCCUGAAGGUUCGCCCCCUACAGAUUUUUAUGUACAGCCUGUGUCAAUAGACUCUGACCGAGCCAAGUAUUUAUAUC